AAAAAGCAAAAAGCAAAGAAAGUGCAUUGUUUCAAGUCCAAACAGCUGAGUUUCAGGAGAAGGUCCAUGAACUGAAGAUGUUCCUCUUUGACAUCUCUGCAAGUCCCUUUUGGUCCUGAAAUAGACUUGCAGAAUCCUGAAACUAAGAACUGCUGAAGAAAAUCCAUCAAUAAUUAUAAAAAAUCCAUUGACAGUUAUCAAACAAUUUUGAGAAAAUUUCUGGAAUGUCCUGGCCACAGCCCUUAAUUGAACCAUUUGUGCUGAGGCUAAUUUGUGUCUUUUCAAUGCUUUUGAGCUGCUAGCUCUUUCCACUUUUCUUAUUUUAUUUAAAUUUUUGUUGUUGUUCUUGUUUUGUUUUCUGAAAGAACAGCAGCAGCAGCAGAGGGACUCUUGGACCCUGCAGCAGGCCCUGGUCCUCGUGGGUGGACCAGGGAACCCAGACCCAAGCCAUGGGUGGUGGCCCAGGCCCUGAUGGGGGAAGCAAAGCCCCCAAACCCAACAGCAGGCAGGGCGGAGGCCCUAGCCCAGGGAAAUAAGCCAAAUGGCCCAGACUCAGCCUCGAGGCGGGCUCUCUGUUCUCACAACUCGUCACCACGACGCUGCCAUUGCAUUGGCAGCAAUAGUGACUGAACACCUCCUCCCCCUUUCCCCAGAACCACCGAUGCAUACCGGCAGCUGGAGAAGAGAAGGUUUCCCGAGAAUCUUCAUCUCGGAUCUGGGGGUUUUAUCUCCCCAGAGCAAGCGAGCAAUGCUCACUUUCCACUGUGUCUCUUGCUCCUGCAAUGCAAAUGCCAGUGUUCCUGCUCUCUGCCCCUUAGUACCACCCCAACCCCUCCGGGCUUGGGGCUGGAGGCAGAACCUCCAGGAACCACCUCCCCGACAUUGCUGGGGCGUGCAGGAGGAGGCAAGCACCCCAAACACCAGUGAGAAGCCCCCGACCAAAUGCAAAGCGGCCCGCGAAAAACGCUGAGCUUGAAAGAGGUCAGCCAGCAGGCGCCGGCAAUCAGCUGUCAAGCCAUACCUCCCCUGGCAGGCAGGCUGAUGUCCCUUUCCCCGGCCCCAGCCCCCACUGCAGGGGCCGCCUUGGGAGAGCCCAAGCAACUCCGGGGGUAGGGCUGAUGAUAGGUGCCGCGGCAGCCGCCGCUGGGGGCGGCGGGACCGCGGGCCACCCCAGAGAUAGUUCUGCGGGCUCAGCGCCGUUCUCAGCAUCCUCUUGAACUGGAAACAGACCUCUGAUCCAGCAGUGUGAAAACCCUUGGAAUUUGCAAGGAGGAGGAAAUCACUGAGAAGAGCAGAGAGAAUAAAGUAUGAUUCUUCAGAAAGUAAGACAUCAGGAGAAGGAGGAAAAGCACAAAAUCAGGAGGCUGUUGGAAGACAGGAAGAAGAUAGGAAGGGAUAAUAGCAUAAGAAGAGAUGCAAAGAACAGAAAACAAAUGAGUGAAGAAAAUGUCAGACUUCAUCUGCAAUGCUCAGUUUGAAGAAGCCAAAUGUACUUCUAUCUAUCAGAAUAUAUCACUAUUCUGAUCUAGCUAUGGAUUGGUGGUUUGAAGAGCAUUGAGAAGCUGUUACAGUGGAGAUAAGGAGACAGAGAAGAUUUUUACUUAGCUCAAACUCCAGUUUUGGGUGAUAGUUUUUGUAAUUGCCCACAGGAUGAAUUAUAGAGAUGACAUAACAAGAAAGUUCAUGUUGCUGUCUAUAAACUGCUGGAAUUACUUCUCAUGUCAAGGUCCACAGAUCAAUUUUCCAGUCUCCUUGGAAUAUAGGGCAUGGUUUCACCUCAUGAUCUUUCAUCAUUAACAGAAAGGCAUACAAUUGUUUGAAGAUAUUAGAAACAGGGAACAUGUUGUUUCUUUUCUAAUUUCAGCAGUAUAUCAUUCCUACUAUUAAAGCUUUAUCUAAUUUAGAUUUGUCUCACUUUGGGGCUGUUUUUGUCAUUGGGUGAAGAAAGCAUUUUAUGCAGACCCUACUCUGAGAGGCCUGCUUGCACAACCCUGCAUGCGAGCUUGCUAGCAGAGAGAUGUGCUAGCAGAGAUGUGCUGCCCUUGGACAGACAAUAUGGACAUACUUGCCAAGAUGUGCCCAAGGAGAAGGGAUGUGAAGCCGGAUGUUCCGAGGAUAAGCAAAGAAGAUAUCGAGCAAAAUGUUCUACUGAUACCUCUACUAAGAUCUGCUACGUGACUAAGUCUAUGUUAGCUUUCUGCCUUGCUUUGUAUCCAAUCAAGUAUAUUCCCACGCCACUAGUAUAAAUGUACCCUCAGAUUUGCAAUAAACCGAGCAUUGAUCAU